GCUGGCCAUGCGGGAGAGUGCAAGGGCGCAAGCUCGAGCCGCCGAAGGAGCAACCGCCCCGGAAUCUCUCAGGUCAACGGACCGCAUGGACAGG
rnacentral:ncRNA from 2 species